rnacentral:lncRNA from 1 species
AUUUUUAUUGGCUUAAUUAUUAAAUUGGUCCCUUAAAGACAUUUUUAGUUUCAAAUUGGUCCCUUAAAGAAAAAAAAGGCUCAAACUGGUCCCUUAAAGACUUUGCCGUUAGUCAUAAUAGUCAUUUCCGUCCAUUUUUUCAAAAAACUGUUAGUUUUGUGCAAGUCCACUGUUACUAAUGGUUCAACACAAACACCCAAUUUUGUUUUCCUUCCUUCAUCUUCUACCUUCAUUUGUUCUUCAUCUUUAACAAUAUUUUCAUGAACUUCAACAACAAAAUUCCAGAUUUUCAAACAAAAAACAAUUAUGCUAAAUUAAAGGGAGAAUAGAAACAACAAAAUCCAUAAAAUUGUGUGAAUGCAUAAAGGGAGAACAGAAAUUCCAGAAAUUGUGAAAAAAAUUCCAGAUCUUCAUCUUCUUCACCAAACAACUACAAACAACAAAUCCAAACAAAAAAAAUGAAACUGAAGGGAGAACAGAAACAGAAACAACUACAGAUCUUCUUCAUCCUUCUUAUUCACACCGCCUUUCUCUUUUGUUUGCGCCGCCGCCGACGAACAUCACACCAACGGGUUUCUCUGUUCGUGUUUCUCUAUUCACGGGCAUUUUUUCCGAUCGUGCUCCGAUCUACAACAUCUUUGACAUCUUGAUUGUUGUUUGUUCGCGUUUUUCCGAUCGAUCUCCGAUUGUGCUUCAAUCCACAAUGUUUCCAUCGCUUCUACAAUGUUUUGUUAUUGUUUCUACUGUGUUCUAAUCUUUAUUGUUGUUUUGUUCAAUGGAAAAGAGAUAUAAUAGCACCAAUAUACAGUGCAAAGAUUUGGGAUUGUUUUACUUCUUUUUUUUCUUCCUGGGUUUGCUGAUCGAUGAAGAUCAUGAAGAAGAAGAGUAAAAAAGAUGAAGAAAAGGUAAAUAGUAUCAAGUGUUGGUAGUUCACAAUAGAUACAAUGCACAUGAAAGAUUCAAUGGUGUUUUUUUUUAUUGAAAAAAUCAAAUGGUUAAAAUUAAAACAAUUAAUAAGGUCUAUGAUGGAUCAUCAGUAAUAUUGGUCCACCUUAGACAUUUACAGUUAAAAAUUAACGGAAAUGACUAUUAUGACUAACGGCAAAGUCUUUAAGGGACCAGUUUGGGCCUUUUUUUCUUUAAGGAGCCAAUUUGAAACCAAAAAUGUUUUUAAGGGACCAAUUUAGUAAUUAAACCAUUUUUAUUGAAAACAUGCAUCUGUAUUCCUGUUUUGUUGUGUAAAAUUUUUGGGCAAUCCUAAUGGUAUUUAUAGAUAAAGGAUUUGAAGAGAGAUAGUUAAAAUAAUAAUUUGUGAAACUUGGGCACCAAGUUU